UACGUAGGUGGCAAGCGUUAUCCGGAAUUACUGGGCGUAAAGCGUGCGUAGGUGGUUCGUUGUGUCUGUGGUGAAAGCCCCGGGCUUAACCUGGGAAUGGCCAUGGAAACUGGCGAGCUGGAGUGUGGCAGAGGAGGGUGGAAUUCCGCGUGUAGCAGUGAAAUGCGUAGAGAUGCGGAGGAACACCGAUGGCGAAGGCAGCCCUCUGGGCUAACACUGACGCUGAGGCACGAAAGCGUGGGGAGCAAACAGG
rnacentral:rRNA from 1 species